GAAGCCAAGCUUGCUUGGUGGAUCAGUGGCGAACGGGUGAGUAACACGUGAGCAACCUGCCCUGGACUCUGGGAUAAGCGCUGGAAACGGCGUCUAAUACUGGAUAUGAGACGUGAUCGCAUGGUCGUGUUUGGAAAGAUUUUUCGGUCUGGGAUGGGCUCGCGGCCUAUCAGCUUGUUGGUGAGGUAAUGGCUCACCAAGGCGUCGACGGGUAGCCGGCCUGAGAGGGUGACCGGCCACACUGGGACUGAGACACGGCCCAGACUCCUACGGGAGGCAGCAGUGGGGAAUAUUGCACAAUGGGCGGAAGCCUGAUGCAGCAACGCCGCGUGAGGGAUGACGGCCUUCGGGUUGUAAACCUCUUUUAGCAGGGAAGAAGCGAAAGUGACGGUACCUGCAGAAGAAGCGCCGGCUAACUACGUGCCAG
rnacentral:rRNA from 1 species